rnacentral:rRNA from 1 species
GAUGAACGCUGGCGGCGUGCCUAAUACAUGCAAGUCGAGCGAACGGACGAGAAGCUUGCUUCUCUGAUGUUAGCGGCGGACGGGUGAGUAACACGUGGAUAACCUACCUAUAAGACUGGGAUAACUUCGGGAAACCGGAUCUAAUACCGGAUAAUAUUUUGAACCGCAUGGUUCAAAAGUGAAAGACGGUCUUUCUGUCACUUAUAGAUGUAUCCGCGCUGCAUUAGCUAGUUGGUAAGGUAACGGCUUACCAAGGCAACGAUGCAUAGCCGACCUGAGAGGGUGAUCGGCCACACUGGAACUGAGACACGGUCCAGACUCCUACGGGAGGCAGCAGUAGGGAAUCUUCCGCAAUGGGCGAAAGCCUGACGGAGCAACGCCGCGUGAGUGAUGAAGGUCUUCGGAUCGUAAAACUCUGUUAUUAGGGAAGAACAUAUGUGUAAGUAACUGUGCACAUCUUGACGGUACCUAAUCAGAAAGCCACGGCUAACUACGUG